GUAGGUGGCAAGCGUUGUCCGGAAUUAUUGGGGCGUAAAGCGCGCGCAGGAGGUUCUUUAAGUCUGAUGUGAAAGCCCACGGGCUCAACCGUGGAGGGCCAUUGGAAACUGGAGAACUUGGGUACAGAAGAGGAAAGCGGAAUUCCACGUGUAGCGGUGAAAUGCGUAGAGAUGUGGAGGAACACCAGUGGCGAAGGCGGCUUUCUGGUCUGUAACUGACGCUGAGGCGCGAAAGCGUGGGGAGCAAACAGGAUUAGAUACCCUGGUAGUCCACGCCGUAAACGAUGAGUGCUAAGUGUUAGGGGUUUCCGCCCCUUAGUGCUGCAGCUAACGCAUUAAGCACUCCGCCUGGGGAGUACGGCCGCAAAGGCUG
rnacentral:rRNA from 1 species